rnacentral:misc_RNA from 1 species
CCAAUAGCGUAUAUUAAAGUUGUUGCAGUUAAAAAGCUCGUAGUUGAAUUUCGGGAUUGACACAUCGGUCGUGCCUUAAGGGGUAUGAACUGGUGUAGUCAAUUUCUCACCUUCUGGAGAACCGCAAUGCCCUUAAUUGGGUGUCGCGGGGAACCAGGACCUUUACUUUGAAAAAAUUAGAGUGUUUAAAGCAGGCAUUUUGCUUGAAUACAUUAGCAUGGAAUAAUAAAAUAGGACGGAUGAUUCUAUUUUGUUGGUUUCUAGGACCACCGUAAUGAUUAAUAGGGAUAGUUGGGGGCAGUAGUAUUCAAUUGUCAGAGGUGAAAUUCUUGGAUUUAUUGAAGACUAACUACUGCGAAAGCAUUUGCCAAGGAUGUUUUCAUUAAUCAAGAACGAAAGUUAGGGGAUCGAAGACGAUCAGAUACCGUCGUAGUCUUAACCAUAAACUAUGCCGACUAGGAAUCAGACGAUGUUAAUUUUUUAAUGACUCGUUUGGCACCUUACG